CCAGCCUGGGUGACAGAGCGAGACUCCGUCUCAAAAAAAAAAAAAGGAAAGGUUCUGAAAUUUAUAAGAUGGACACAAAAACCACAGACUUCCUGAGCAAUACUACCUAGAAGUGUUUCUUCCCAAAAUGUCAUCAGCACUCACUUCAUGGUCACAGUCAAACUACUUUCUAUCACGUUGUAGCUGGCUUGCUGAACCACAUUCAACAUUUUCUUUCUGGCUCUUUUUUGUCUUAAACUAUUUUUGGCAUUCACUUUCUAAUGUGUUGACUUACAUUUUCUUUCUUUCUUUCUUUUUUUUUUUUUUUUUGAGGCAGAGUCUCACUCUGUUGCCCA